rnacentral:RNase_P_RNA from 1 species
CCAGAGGGCCGGGCGGCCGCGGCUCCGCGCAAGCGGGGACGAGGAAAGUCCGGGCUCCACGGAACGACGGUGCCGGGUAACGCCCGGCGGGUUUUGCUUUGGCAGGGCUCAGGGAUAGUGCCACAGAAAGGAUACCGCCCGGGACCAGGGUAACUUGGGGCCGGGUAAGGGCGAAAGGGGGCGGCAAGAGCGCACCGCGGGACUGGCAACAGGACCGGCACGGUAAACCCCACCGGGAGCAAGACCGAAUAGGGGCGGCAAAUGGGCCUGUUCCGGCUCGUCGCCCGGGUUGGUUGCUUGAGGGGCAGGGUAACCUGUCUCCUAGAGGAAUGGCCGCACAUCCGCCGGCGCCCUAGCGGCUAUGGCGGAGGACAGAACCCGGCUUACAGGCCCUCUGGCGUU